UACGGGGGGUGCGAGCGUUGUCCGGAAUCACUGGGCGUAAAGGGCGCGUAGGUGGUCUGAUAAGGGUGUGGUGAAAGCCCGGGGCUCAACCCCGGGUCGGCCGUGCCGACUGUUAGACUAGAGUGCUGUAGGGGCAGGCGGAAUUCCGGGUGUAGCGGUGGAAUGCGUAGAGAUCCGGAAGAACACCGGUGGCGAAGGCGGCCUGCUGGGCAGUGGCUGACACUGAGGCGCGACAGCGUGGGGAGCAAACAGG
rnacentral:rRNA from 1 species